rnacentral:rRNA from 1 species
AUUGAACGCCGGCGGCAUGCUUUACACAUGCAAGUCGGACGGCAGCACAGAGAAGCUUGCUUCUUGGGUGGGAGUGGCGAACGGGUGAGUAACAUAUCGGAACGUACCGAGCAGUGGGGGAUAACUGAUCGAAAGAUUAGUUAAUACCGCAUAUAUUCUGAGGAAGAAAGCAGGGGACCAUUUGGCCUUGCGCUGUUUGAGCGGCCGAUAUCUGAUUAGCUAGUUGGUGGGGUAAAGGCCUACCAAGGCGACGAUCAGUAGCGGGUCUGAGAGGAUGAUCCGCCACACUGGGACUGAGACACGGCCCAGACUCCUACGGGAGGCAGCAGUGGGGAAUUUUGGACAAUGGGCGCAAGCCUGAUCCAGCCAUGCCGCGUGUCUGAAGAAGGCCUUCGGGUUGUAAAGGACUUCUGUCAGGGA